AGAACAACAACAAUCAGGAGUUGAAGAGUGCGAAGAAGAAAGCAGUGGAUUCUGAUGUGGUUGUUCAAGAGGAGUCGGCGAAGAAGACUGGUGAUGAUACGAAGAAGCAAUUGUUUCAGAGGUUGUGGAGUGAAGAUGAUGAGAUUGUGAUUUUGAAAGACUGCGAGUCUUGAAAAGCUAUGUCAAACAAGAAGUGAAAAUAUUCAUGAAGAAGAAUCGAAGAAAGUUGGUCUCUGGCAAAGGAGGAAGCUGCCAAGUCUAAAGCAGCAAAGGAUGUUAUGAAAGAUUUGACACUGAAGAGCGACCCAGAUUUGGUUUUUGGAGGGAUCACAAUUGUCUCUGAAAUAUUAAGAACAAUAGCCAGAGGUUUUGUUCUGGAUAAAAUGACUAACACAAUCCCCAAUGCUUUUAAGUACCAUGUGUUGAAAACUCAAACAGAGACUUACAGGAAGUAGGAGAGAGAACGCCAAUUUGAGAUUGAUAUAAGAAGGGCACAAGGGUUAGAAGUCAAACGAACGCUGGAAGAUGGGAACUGCCUCUUUUGUGCUGUUGCAGAUCAGCUGUAUGGGGACUCUGAUGCGUAUGAUUUGGUUAGACACAUGUGCAUUGAUUAUAAAUUUAUAUGGUAUGACUAUUCUUAUGUGACUUCAUAUCCUUAGAAGCUAAAGUAUACAUGUUCAUCUUUCAUCUUUAUGUGAUUCCUAUCUUUCAUCUUGUUAGUGGUAUGCCUACUAAAUGGAAUAUUAUGUGUCAACCUAGAAAAAGUGGGAUGCUAGUUUAUUUGUUUCCUGACACCUCCAAAAAAAUAAAAUAAAUAAAUAAAUAGAAUUGUUAAAGAAAUGAAAAAUACCAUGCGAAAAGAUAAAGUAGAAAGAGAAAAAUGCAAAGCAGAGUGACUCUGUUUUAUCUUCAGGGUAUAUCUAGAAAUUUCCUUACGAGACACAUUCUAGAAUGAUAUACUUUGUGAGCUAUUUUUUGAAUUUUUUGAUUGGUUGAUUGAGCUAUAUUAUUUGCCAUUUGUUGAAAUCUAAUACUAUUACAAGCUGGGAAAGGAGUUACAGAGUAGAGGUGUUAGAAUUCUUAAUUCCUGGUUAGCAGUUCCUUUACUUCUUCUGAGUUGCUUUGGAAGGUUGGUCCUGUCUUGACUAGUAGUAGAAAAAAAAAUUAUUGUCUGGUAAGGAUAGGUAGUGUAUUGCAGGUCGUCUAGGACUCAAGGUCUUUUGUAUGAAGUUGUGCCCUUCAUUUCCCCUAAUCAUUUCUUGCAGGUCUUGCUAGUACAUGUUUAGAGAUGUUGCGGGUUAAAGUGACUGUGAGAUCUAUAUGCUAGGUUCCUUAUAUGUGAGUGUUGUGAGGCUGUUUAUACUAACUGUUUUGUUUGUAGGCUGUACAGCUGGUCUUUCUUUAGGGAAGGUGUGUUGAGUGAUGUAAGUCAGAUAUUGCUAGGUAGUCAUACUUGUGUGGAGCUGGUGAGACUUGUGGGUUGAGUGAUGUUGAGCAUGUAUAUAUAUAUAUAUUCUCUAAUGUUUGUUGUGCAGAUUGGCAAGCUGGUACAUAUUGUGAGGGAAUUUUUUGUUUGUGAGCAUGUAUUUUGUAGUGUUUUAUGUGAGUUGAGAGUGUGGGUUGAGUGGCUAAGGACUAUAUUGUGUGUUUGUUCUCAACCCAUUUUGUUCUUUCCUUUUGGUCCUCACUGGUGGUUGUUAUACUAUUCAAAAUGGGUCUCUCAUGUGUUCAACACCCCCAUAGCCCCUGUUAUGUGGCGGUUGAACAUAUGUAAUCCUAUGUUUGAGUGGUUGGUUCUAGUAUGGAGCUUAACUUUAUUUUUAUUUUUUUUGGUUUUCUUUUUU